rnacentral:rRNA from 1 species
AAUUGACGGGGCCCGCACAAGCGGUGGAUUAUGUGGAUUAAUUCGACGCAACGCGAAGAACCUUACCAGGGCUUGACAUCGUCUGAAAACUGUAGAGAUACAGCGUUCCCUUCGGGGACAGAUAGACAGGUGGUGCAUGGUUGUCGUCAGCUCGUGUCGUGAGAUGUUGGGUUAAGUCCCGCAACGAGCGCAACCCCUAUUGUUAGUUGCCAUCAUUCAGUUGGGCACUCUAGCGAGACUGCCGGUAAUAAACCGGAGGAAGGUGGGGAUGACGUCAAAUCAUCAUGCCCCUUAUGACCUGGGCUACACACGUGCUACAAUGGUUGGUACAACGAGUUGCGAGUCGGUGACGGCGAGCUAAUCUCUUAAAGCCAAUCUCAGUUCGGAUUGUAGGCUGCAACUCGCCUACAUGAAGUCGGAAUCGCUAGUAAUCGCGGAUCAGCACGCCGCGGUGAAUACGUUCCCGGGCCUU